CAUGUCUUUUUGAUUAUAAUUUAAAGUCUAAUCUGCUCAAUGAAAUUUUAAAUUGCCGCAGUAUUUUGACUGUGCAAAGGUAGCAUAAUAAUUAGUUUCUUAAUUAGAAACUGGAAUGAAUGAUUGGACAAGAAAAUUUCUGUCUCUCUUUUAAAUUUAUUGAAUUUUAUUUUUAAGUGAAAAAGCUUAAAUUUUUAUAAAAGACGAGAAGACCCUAUAGAGUUUAAUAGAUUAGUUUAAUUAAUUUUUAGUAAGGGUUAUUGAGAUAAUUUAUUUAGUUGGGGUGAUUUGAAGAUUAAAAAAAUUCUUUGAUUAUUAAGUUAAUGAUUUUUAAAUUUUUUUAUUUAAAAUUGUUAAAUUUAAAAUAAAUUACCUUAGGGAUAACAGCGUAAUUUUUCUUAAAAGUUCUUAUUUAAAGGAAAGUUUGCGACCUCGAUGUUGGAUUAAAAUUAAUUUUUGGUGCAGUAACUUAAAAAUUAGGUCUGUUCGACCUUUAAAAUUUUACAUGAUCUGAGUUUAAACCGGUGUAAACCAGGUUGGAUUCUAUCUUUAGAGAAUAAAAUAUAUUUUAGUACGAAAGGACCAAAUAUAUAUUAAAUUA
rnacentral:rRNA from 1 species